rnacentral:sRNA from 1 species
UGAUGGGUAAUCUGGCUGCAACAUCUGUCACCCCACUGAUCGGCAGGGUUGAUUUGGCUGAUCUGGCUGGCUAGGCAGGUGUCCCCUUCAUCCCUCACUGCUCCAUGUACAUCCCUCCUGAAACUGCUCUCGCGAGCUCCGUUUUUGGCUGGGACAGCCUCCUGCAACCCUCUGCCAGCAAAAACAGAGCUCGGGAGGGUCGCAUGCAGCCAUUUUGAGCUCCGUUUUCAGUGGCAGAGGCACUGCGGGCUAGUCCUUCGCUAUUAACGGGGUGGCACUGCAGACCAGAGCUAAGCACUCAGUAGGCCAGAUCCG